rnacentral:tRNA from 1 species
GCCGCUGUAGCUCAGCGGUAGAGCGCACCCUUGGUAAGGGUGAGGUCGCGGGUUCAAGUCCCGCCAGCGGCU